GGGGCUGAUUCUGGAUUCGACGGGAUUUGCGAAACCCAAGGUGCAUGCCGAGGGGCGGUUGGCCUCGUAAAAAGCCGCAAAAAAAUAGUCGCAAACGACGAAAACUACGCUUUAGCAGCUUAAUAACCUGCUUAGAGCCCUCUCUCCCUAGCCUCCGCUCUUAGGACGGGGAUCAAGAGAGGUCAAACCCAAAAGAGAUCGCGCGGAUGCCCUGCCUGGGGUUGAAGCGUUAAAACUAAUCAGGCUAGUCUGGUAGUGGCGUGUCCGUCCGCAGGUGCCAGGCGAAUGUAAAGACAGACUAAGCAUGUAGUACCGAGGAUGUAGGAAUUUCGGACGCGGGUUCAACUCCCGCCAGCUCCACCA
rnacentral:tmRNA from 20 species